AGCUUUCUGAGUCCGUACUGAGAUUUCGUCAGACUGCAACUUACCAGGACUGGUGAGACUUCUAAGAUAAGUAAAGUA
rfam:Schistosoma curassoni strain Dakar, Senegal genome assembly, scaffold: SCTD_contig0007782